CUCCAGUUUCUCCAAGUCUGCACUUCACUGAACUGUGGAUCUGGCCGGGGCCGGUGCAAGAGGCGAUGGUGUGGAAGCUUCGAGCAGAUUUGACAAAUUCUUGCCACCCAGUCCUCCACAGGGUAAAGAGCCCAGAUGGCAUAGAAGACUCAAGGAAGUUGUUCUGGGAAUCACACUGAGGCUAGCAGAGCUGAGCUUUUCUGCCCGUUGUAGAGGGAUUAAAAAAAAAAAAACCCUCAAGAUCAAGUCCUCCCACUUCCAUCCUGCAUACCUAUGAUGUCUCUGAGAGCUGCAAGCUCUGUGAGCUUCCCUGAGGUGACCAGGGAUGAUCAUGUGCUGCUCCGUGCUGUUGAGAUGCCUCUGUGAGCUGCCUGCCUGCUGGU